rnacentral:rRNA from 1 species
UAUGUAAUGUAGCCUCUCUUCGGAGCAUCGGUGACAGGUGGUGCAUGGUUGUCGUCAGCUCGUGUCGUGAGAUGUUGGGUUAAGUCCCGCAACGAGCGCAACCCUUAUCCUUAGUAGCCAGCGGAUAGAGCCGGGCACUCUAGGGAGACUGCCAGGGAUAACCUGGAGGAAGGCGGGGAUGACGUCAAAUCAUCAUGCCCCUUAUGACUUGGGCUACACACGUGCUACAAUGGCGUAAACAAAGGGAAGCGAACCUGUGAGGGAGAGCAAAUCUCAAAAAUAACGUCCCAGUUCGGAUUGCAGUCUGCAACUCGACUGCAUGAAGCUGGAAUCGCUAGUAAUCGCGAAUCAAAAUGUCGCGGUGAAUACGUUCCCGGGUCUUGUACACACC